rnacentral:rRNA from 1 species
GAUUAUGGCUCAGGACGAACGCUGGCGGCGUGCUUAACACAUGCAAGUCGAACGGGGAUUAGGUGGAAAGGCUUCGGCCCGGAAGACUUAAUUCGAGUGGCGGACGGGUGAGUAACGCGUGAGCAACCUGUCCCAGACAGGGGGAUAACACUUGGAAACAGGUGCUAAUACCGCAUAAGACCACGGGGUCACAUGGCUCUGGGGUAAAAGGAGCAAUCCGGUUUGGGGUGGGCUCGCGUCCGAUUAGAUAGUUGGUGAGGUAACGGCCCACCAAGUCGACGAUCGGUAGCCGACCUGAGAGGGUGAUCGGCCACAUUGGAACUGAGAGACGGUCCAAACUCCUACGGGAGGCAGCAGUGGGGAAUAUUGGGCAAUGGGCGAAAAACGCCUGACCCAGCAACGCCGCGUGAGUGAAGAAGGCCUUCGGGUUGUAAAGCUCUGUUAUAGGGGACGAAGGAAGUGACGGUACCCUAUAAGGAAGCCCCGGCUAACUACGUGCCAGCCGCGGC